GCGUUUCUCUCUCCUCGACCGCUUGGUAGCUUCAGCAUGGGAAAAAAAGGAGAGUCCAUUUCGAUGAGAGCAGAUUCUCCACUUGCAGUAUGAAUCCAGCCUGCUCGUGCCCAUCAGAAAUACGACAAGCUGUAAAGCCAUACUUGCAGUCUUUACUGCAGGAGAUAAAAGCAUCUCUGGAUUAUGUUUCUUUCAAAACUGAUUGGAUCCUUGAUCGUCUUUAUGAAGUUGAAGCUGUUCAUGGAAUACCAUUUUUACCAUCAGUAGCUCAUCUUUUGACCAGUAUACAGCAUAACAUUGAAAUGGAGCUUCCAUGGCCCUUGCAAAAUGAAGGUGCUCAACUGUGUUCUCAGGCAUCUGGUUUAAUAGGCAGACCAAACUUCCCCAGUGUGCAUUGGAAAGCUAGCUGGGAUAUGGGUUCUCUGUCGCAAAAAUUGCUUCUAUCUUUAGGGUUUCACAAAGGACAAUAAGACAUAAAAUGCAGGACUAUAAUGUGAGAGUCUCAGAUUUCUGCUCCAUAAUUUCUGACCUGGUAUUGGAUGAGGAGAUAAGAAAGAUUUGAUCAGAUCUCCCUACACAGGGUGCAGACUGAUGGAUGGAUAUCUGAGAGGAAAGGGAAUAAGUAUGGUUUAAAUUGCAUCAUUUUUUAUGUAGUUCUUUCUUUUUGUGAUGGCAGUAUACAUACCUUAGAAUCUGUAAUCAACAGUCAUGACAUUAUUAAGCUACAUUAAGAAAGUAGUCUACUAAGCUGAAACAGGUUGUUAUAUAUUCUCCAUACAGUCCAGAGAAGAGUGUACGAUGUUCUUGGUCCCCUGUGCCAUUGGCACAUAGAUGAAAAUUACAAAUUAGUAAGGUAAUCUAUGCUUCUCUUGUGCCAUUUUAAAAAGUAAAUUAGUAUUUAGCUCAACCACAUACAUUAUCUUUUUCAAGCAAUUUUAAUGGCUAACACUAAUUAUCUACCCUCAAUAUAUCUUUUCUUUUCAAUAAUGAAGUAGAAUUGUGGAUAAGUUCAUAUAUUUAGUUAUUUCCCUAAAAUUAAGUUAUUUAAUGUCGUAUUUUAAUGACAUGUGAAGAUAAAAUACUUAAAGGGGAUUACUUGCAAAGUCAGGCCAAUUUGAUGCCAUUUUUAGGCCAUCAGUCGUUUUUUGUGCAUGCAUGCUACUGAUGAUGCAUCUGUAUUAUUGCGAAUAUCUGUAACACUUCAAAUGAAAGCAUCAGUUGAAGUUUUUUUUUUAAAAUUUGAUUUAUCUUUAAAUGUACUGACUUGUAAAGGGUUUAUCUCCCUGUGGCAGGCUGGCAAGUGGAUAGAGGCCCAGAGACAGACUGCAGUUCAAAAAAAUAAC